rnacentral:rRNA from 1 species
ACUCCUACGGGAGGCAGCAGUAGGGAAUUUUCCGCAAUGGACGAAAGUCUGACGGAGCAAUGCCGCGUGAGUGAUGAAGGUUUUCGAAUCGUAAAGCUCUGUUGUAAGGGAAGAAUAGCAGUAGUAGGAAAUGACUACUGUGUGACGGUACCUUACCAGAAAGCCACGGCUAACUACGUGCCAGCAGCCGCGGUAAUACGUAGGUGGCAAGCGUUAUCCGGAAUUAUUGGGCGUAAAGAGCUCGUAGGCGGUUUGUCGCGUCUGUCGUGAAAGUCCGGGGCUCAACUCCGGAUCUGCGGUGGGUACGGGCAGACUAGAGUGAUGUAGGGGAGACUGGAAUUCCUGGUGUAGCGGUGGAAUGCGCAGAUAUCAGGAGGAACACCGAUGGCGAAGGCAGGUCUCUGGGCAUUAACUGACGCUGAGGAGCGAAAGCAUGGGGGAGCGAAACAGGAUUAGAUACCCUGGUAGGGCUCU